rnacentral:lncRNA from 1 species
UAAAAAUAUGAGAAACUGAAAAAAUGGAAAUAAAGUGUUUGUAAAUGGGGAGGGGAGGAGGGGGUGAAGGGAGGGCAGGGACAAGGGGAAAAAAUGAGAAUCAAGACCUAUUAUGUAAAGGUACAGAAUCCCAAUGAUGAAUGUAACUGUAUUGUAUACCUAGAUUGUAGCAAUAAACUCAAUUAAAAAAAAUAUUUUUCUCACAGUUCCAAAAGUUGAACAGUUCAAGAUUAAGGUGAUGGUCAAAUUGGUUUCUGAUGAGGGCUCUCUUCUUGCCUUCUUGUUGUGUCCUUACAUAGUGGAGAAAGAUGGAGAAAGAUCUUCAGCUUUUUAUAAGACCCAGUCCCACCCAGUGCGGGCUCCAUCCUAACCUGAACUACCUCCUGAAGACUCUCUCUCCAGAUAGAGCCACACUGGGAACACAGUUGGCCCAUAGUAUGGACGAAGAAAUGAUUUUUAGGAAAUAUGAGGCUUUUACCAGAUCUGGAAGAGCCGCACAGAUUCCCAGUAUGCCACUAGGCAAUCAGAAUGUGGUGAGAUUUUUAUAACCAUGGAAAUCAGAUUGCUGAGGCUGAGACAUGAACAGAAAGUUUCAUACCCACCUUUGUAACAGCACUGUCCACAAGACCGAAAAGGUAGAUACAACCCCAAUGUCUGUGGACAGAGCAAUGAAUAAUCAAGAUGAGGUCACCUGAUACAGCGGGAUAUGAUUCAUUCUUCAACAAGGAAGGAGAUCCUGGUCCAUACUGGGAUGGAGAUGAACACCGAAGAAAGCACGGUGAGUAAAAUAAACUAGAUG